rnacentral:rRNA from 1 species
UUUUUGAAAAUAAUAUAAAGUCUAAUCUGCCCACUGAUAAAUUAUUAAAGGGCUGCAGUAUUUUGACUGUACAAAGGUAGCAUAAUCAAUAGUCUCUUAAUUGGUGACUUGUAUGAAAGAUUGGAUGAGAUAUAAACUGUCUCUACUUAAUUAAUAAAAUUUAAUUUUUUAAUUAAAAAGUUAAAAUAAUUUUAAAAGACGAGAAGACCCUAUAGAGUUUUAUAAUUUAAUUAAUUAAUUAUUAAUAUAUAAAUUUUAAAAUUAGAAUUAAUUAAAUUAUUUUAUUGGGGUGAUAGAAAAAUUAAANUAACUUUUUUUUAAAAUUUAACAUUAAUUUAUGAUUUAAUGAUCCAUUAAUAAUGAUUAUAAGAAAAAAUUACCUUAGGGAUAACAGCGUAAUUUUUUUUUUUAGUUCUUAUAAGAAAAAAAGUUUGCGACCUCGAUGUUGGAUUAAGAUAAAAUUUAAAUGCAAAAGUUUAAAAUUUUUGAUCUGUUCGAUCAUUAAAAUCUUACA